UACGUAGGGUGCGAGCGUUGUCCGGAAUUAUUGGGCGUAAAGGGCUCGUAGGCGGUUUGUCGCGUCGGGAGUGAAAACAUCGUGCUUAACUCGAUGCUUGCUUUCGAUACGGGCAGACUUGAGGUAUGCAGGGGAGAAUGGAAUUCCUGGUGUAGCGGUGAAAUGCGCAGAUAUCAGGAGGAACACCGGUGGCGAAGGCGGUUCUCUGGGCAUUACCUGACGCUGAGGAGCGAAAGUGUGGGGAGCGAACAGG
rnacentral:rRNA from 1 species